CAGGAAAUAGUUUAUAAAUAAAAUUUUAAUUUUGGAGAUUAAUGAUAGGGUUUACUCUUUUCCUGA
rnacentral:tRNA from 1 species